rnacentral:rRNA from 1 species
GAUGAACGCUGACAGAAUGCUUAACACAUGCAAGUCUACCUGAACUUCGGUUUGGGUGGCGGACGGGUGAGUAACGCGUAAAGAACUUGCAUCACAGUUAGGGACAACAUUUGGAAACGAAUGCUAAUACCUGAUAUUAUGAUUUAAGGGCAUCCUAGGCUUAUGAAAGCUAUAUGUGCUGUGAGAGAGCUUUGCGUCCCAUUAGCUAGUUGGAGAGGUAACGGCUCACCAAGGCGAUGAUGGGUAGCCGGCCUGAGAGGGUGAACGGCCACAAGGGGAUUGAGACGCGGCACGUACCCAACCGGGAGGCAGGGGUGGAGUAGAUAAGAUAAUGGACCAAAAGUAUGCUCGAGGAAUUCUGUGUGCGUGAUUACGUUUUUCGGAAGGUAAAGAAAUUUCAGUUGACAAGAAAAAAAUGACGGUACCAACAGAAGAAGUGACGGCUAAAUACGUG